CAAUUAUAUCUCUCUUUCUCUAUCCAUCCUUCCUGUAUUUUGUAGUGAGCUGUUUUUGACCUGAUGUUUCGAUGAAUCUAUGCCCUUGUCUCCCUGAGCUAUCUGUCUCUAGGCUCUAUUUGUCAGUCUGUAUAUUUAUUUGUGCCUUGGCUUUUCAUUACUGGGGAUGUAUACUUUUAGAAGGGACACAAGUGUGUAAGAAUUUUCUAAUUUUAUGUCGAGUGCAGGAAAUGGAAGAGACAAACAGCUGGGAAACAGGGAGGCAGGAAACAUUAGGAAGAGUGGCACUCAGAAAUAUUAAAAUAUCGGCUGACAGAUAUAGAAGUAGAGACAGGGUAGCAACGUGAAAUGGGUCAAUUGUAAAGAUAGGAAGUGAACAGCAACAGGGCUGCAAGAAACAGAAAGCUGGGCAAGAGGGUGAUUUCUGCCCUGGGACAGUGCCGGGAGGGAGGAAAUGAUGUAAUUUGAAGGAGGGAGUGAUGAAAAUGGUAUUGGAGAGGCUCUAGAAUAUACAGGGCAUGGAGGUAGUCGUCCAAGGAAUGAGGAGUGACAUGAGGUGACUUUGCUUCUACACAGUGAAUUCUUCCAACAAUGUGUGAGUUGGAGUAUUGCGAUUGAAUUGAAAAGUUGCCACAUUAGAACAAGAGUUACAUUGCAGCAUCUUCCAAGGUGGUCAGAUCUGAAUCAACUUAAGAUCCCUGUAAAAUCCAGUGGCAAAGAUUUGGAGCCCAGGCUUGUCACCUGAUAAAGGAGCAGCGCUCCGAAAGCUUGUGAUUUUAAAUAAACCUAUUGGACUAUAACCUGGUGUCAUGUAACUUCUGAUUUUGUCCACCUCAGUCCAUCAUCAUUCUCACCACAUUGUGUCCGUCAUUUACCGAGAUGUUUCCCAAGCGCUGUGAAAAUUACUGACUGGAAAUGAG